rnacentral:rRNA from 1 species
UGCCAGCCGCCGCGGUAAUACGAAGGGACCUAGCGUAGUUCGGAAUUACUGGGCGUAAAGCGUACGUAGGCGGAUUAAUAAGUUAGAGGUGAAAUCCCAGGGCUCAACCCUGGAACUGCCUUUAAAACUGUUAGUCUUGAGAUCGAGAGAGGUGAGUGGAAUUCCAAGUGUAGAGGUGAAAUUCGUAGAUAUUUGGAGGAACACCAGUAGCGAAGGCGACUCUUUGGUAAAAACUGACGUUGAGGGACGAAAGUGUAGGGAGCAAACAGGAUUAGAAU